GAAACCUCAAAUCCAUCUCCCCAGAAAGUUUGAGAUUAGGGAUUUUUUUUCAGUAGCUGAAUAUAACUGGCCAGUGCAGAAGAGCCUAUGAAGGUGGAAAAUGGAGGAAGGAGGACCCCAUGCUGGAGAAGUGAUGGAGAUUUGAAGCCUUGGAAGAUGGCGGCAAGGGAGAUGCCAGAGAUGAGACAAUGUUAAACAUCUGUAAUCUAACAGUCUUCUAUGGGAGUUUAUUACAUUUCCAUAUAAAAAGUAUCCGCUUUUAAUGGACAGAUUUGUUCUUUCUAAUUUACUUCCUGCCACUUUGUUAAUCAAUUUGGUAGUCUGAAAAAAAUUUUUUUAAUCUUGUCUUUAUCAAUGAGAAGAGAAAAUAGCUUUUAUCCAAGGAAGGUGAGUCCUUUAAAAUUAUCAGACCCAGAGAGACUUUUUUUGAGACACUCUUGCUCUGUCACCCAGGCUGGAGUACAGUGGUGUGAUCUUGGCUCACUGCAACCUCUGCCUCCUGGAUGUAAGCGAUUCUCCUGUCUCAGCCUCCCGAGUAGCUGGGAUUACAGGGAUGCCACCAUGCCUGGAUAAUUUUUGUAUUUUUAGUAGAGAUGGGGUUUUGCCAUGUUGGCCAGGCUGGUCUCACACUCCUGACCUCAGGUGAUCCGCCCACCUCAGCCUCCCAAAGUGCUGGGAUUAUAGACGUGAGCCACUGCGUGUGGCCCAGAAAGACAUUAAGAUGAGCCAACAAUCACAUUGUACUUCCCCCUUGAGUGAUAUAUUCAUCUUCUGAAACUUCUUGCUGUUGCCAUAAUAGCUAUAAAUUAACCUAAUAAUAAUGUACUUGACACUAUAACCCACACACUAUAGCUUAACAAUGUAUAGCCAAUCAUUAAUGUUAUUUCUGUAAACCAAUGAGACUUCCUGUCAUACAACUUUGUAUCAGCCCACUGCUUGUCCCCUUUGCCUUUAAAAAACCUGCUGGUAGCUUUCAGUGCCUGCAGAUCCUAGGAGCUCCCAGCCGAGGAUGUCAGAUCUCAUCAUCCUUGCUGCUUUGCCACCCCAUUCCCCUCAAUAAAGUGGUUUGGUCCCCCCCCAACCAAAAGACGAAAUUACAACAAAUUUAGUUUAAAGAUCUAAUUGGCUUAAUUAGCAAUUCAUGAAUUAGACAACAUCUCUGUAAAAAUAGACAGGUGCUCUGAUGGGCUGUUGCAAUAGAGUUUAAUUCACACAGAGCCAGUUGUGGGGGAGACUGGAGUUUUAUUUUUACUCAAAUCAGUCUCCUUGAAAACUCAUGGAUCAGGGAUUUUAGGGAUAAUUUGGUGGGUGGGGGGUCAGAAAGCGAGAGAGUAGGCCCUGUAAAACUAACCCACACAGUCCUCUCAGGGAACAGUCCAUUCUUUGUUCUUUCCUGAGCACAAGCUAAAAUAAACUUUCUUUGGGAGGCCAAGGCCAGUAGAUCACCUGAGGUCAGAAGCUGGAGACCAGUCAUGCAUCCAGUUUUGUUCUUUUGGCUCAUGAUUGUCUUGGCUGUGCAGGCUCUUUUUUGGUUCCACAAGAAAUUUAAAGUAGUUUUUUCCAAUUAUGUGAAGAAAGUCAAUGGUAGCUUGAUGGGGAUAGCAUUGAAUCUAUAAAUUACCUUGGGUAGUAUGGCCAUUUUCACGAUAUUAAUCUUUCCUAUCCAUGAACAUGGAAUGUUUUUCCCAUUGUUUGUGUCCUUUUCCCAUUUCCUUGAGCAGUGGUUUGAAGUUCUCCUUGAAGAGGUCCUUCACAUCCCUUGUAAGUUGUAUUCUUAGAUAUUGUAUUCUCUUUGUAGUAAUUGUGAAUGGGAGUUCAUUCAUGAUUUGGCUCUACUUGUCUAUUAUUGCUGUAUAGGAAUGCUUGUGAUUUUUGCUUAUUGAUUUUGUAUCCUGAGACUUUGCUGAAGUUGCUUAUCAGCUUAAGGAGAUUUUGGGCUGAGACAAAGGGGUUUUCUAAAUACACAAUCAUGUCAUCUGAAAACAGAGACAAUUUGACUUUCUCUCUUCCUAUUUGAAUACCCUUUAUUUCUUUCUCUUGCUGAUAGUCCUGGCCAGAACUUCCAAUACUAUGUUUAAUAGGAGUUGUGAGAGAAGGCAUCCUUGUCUUGUGCCAGUUUUCAAAGGGAAUGCUUCCAGUUUUUGCCCAUUCAGUAUGAUAUUGGCUGUGGGUUUGUCAUAAAUAGCUCUUAUAAUUUGAGAUACAUUCCAUCAAUACCUAGUUUAUUCGGAGUUUUUAGCAUGAAGGCAUGUUGAAUUUUGUCAAAAGCCUUUUCUGCAUCUAUUAAGAUAGUCAUAUUGUUUUUGUCCUUGGUUCUGUUUAUGUGAUGGAUUACAUUUAUUGAUUUGCGUAUGUUAAACCAGCCUUGCAUCCCAGGGAUGAAGCUGACUUGAUCAUGGUGGAUAAGCUUUUUGAUGUGCUGCUGGAUUCAGUUUGCCAGUAUUUUAUUGAGAAUUUUUGCAUCAAUAUUCAUCAGGGAUAUUGGCCUGAAAUUUUCUUUUUUUGUUGUGUCUCUGCCAGGCUUUGGUAUCAGGAUGAUGCUGGCCUCAUAAAGUGAGUUAGGGAGAAGUCCCUAUUUUUCUAGUGUUUGGAAUAGUUUCAGAAGGAAUGGUACCAGCUCCUCUUUGUACCUCUGGUAGAAUUUGGCUGUGAAUCUGUCUGGUCCUGGACUUUUUUUGGUUGGUAGGCUAUUAAUUAUUGCCUCAAUUUCAGAACUUGUUAUUGGUCUAUUCAGGGAUUCAACUUCUUCCUGAUUUAGACUUGGGAGGGUGUAUGUGUCUGGGAAUGUAUCCAUUUCUUCUAGAUUUUCUAGUUUAUUUGUAUAGAGGUGUUUAUAGUAUUCUCUGAUAGUAGUUUGUAUUUCUGUGGGAUCACUGGUGAUAUCCCCUUUAUCAUUUUUUAUUGUGUCUAUUUGAUUCUUCUCUCUUUUCUUUAUUAGUCUGGCUAGCGAUCUAACUACUUUGUUGAUCUUUUCGAAAAACCAGCUCCUGAAUUCAUUGACUUUUUGAAGGGUUUUUUGUGUCUCUAUCUGCCGAGACUAGCUCGAUCGGGGAGACCCUAACCCAGUGGCGCUAGAGGAAUUAAAGACACACACACAGAAAUAUAGAGGUGUGAAGCACAUGAGAUGGGUCUCCUGAAUACAGCACACUGACGGAUCUUGACUCUUUAUCCAAUAUGCCAGUCUGUGUCCUUUAAUUGGGGCAUUUAGCCCACUUAUAUUCAAGGUUAAGCCUGGUGGUGACAAAAUCUCUCAGCAUUUGCUUGUCUGUAAAGGAUUUUAUUUCUCCUUCACUUAUGAAGCUUAGCUUGGCUGGAUAUGAAACUCUGGGUUGAAAAUUCUUUUCUUUAAAAAUGUUAAACUUUCUGGCUUGUAGGGUUUCUGCAAGGAAAUCCGCUGUUAGUCUGAGGGGCUUCCCUUUGUGGGUAACCCAACCUUUCUCUUUGGCUGCCCUCAACUUUUUUUUCUUCAUUUCAUCCACAGUGAAUCUGACGAUUGUAUGUCUUGGGGUUGCCUUUCUCAAGGAGAAUCUUUGUGGUGUUCUCUGUAUUUCCUGAAUUCCAAUGUUGGCGUAUCUUGCUAGGUUGGGGAAGUUCUCCUGGGUAAUAUCCUGAAGAAUGUUUUCCAGCUUGGUUCCAUUCUCUCUGUCACUUUCAGGUACACAAUCAAAUGUAGGUUU
rnacentral:lncRNA from 10 species